rnacentral:rRNA from 1 species
UACAGAGGUGGCAAGCGUUGUUCGGAAUUACUGGGCGUAAAAGGGCGCGUAGGCGGUUCUGUAAGUCCUGUGUGAAAAUCCCCCGGCUCAACUGGGGAACGUGCACAGGAAACUAGCGGGGCGUUGAGUUCGGGAGAGGGAAGCGGAAUUCCGGGUGUAGCGGUGAAAUGCGUAGAUAUCCGGAGGAACACCGGUGGCGAAGGCGGCUUCCUGGACCGAUACUGACGCUGAGGCGCGAAAGCUAGGGGAGCAAACGGGAUUAGAACCUC